UACGUAGGUAGCAAGCGUUGUUCGGAAUUACUGGGCGUAAAGAGUGUGUAGGCGGUGUUCUAAGUUUGUCGUGAAAUCUCCCGGCUUAACUGGGAGGGUGCGGCGAAAACUGGAAUGCUAGAGGAUGGGAGAGGUAAGCGGAAUUCCUGGUGUAGCGGUGAAAUGCGUAGAUAUCAGGAGGAACACCUGUGGUGUAGACAGCUUACUGGACCAUUUCUGACGCUGAGACACGAAAGCGUGGGUAGCAAACAGG
rnacentral:rRNA from 1 species